AUGGGCUCAAUAAAGGACAAAAAUGGCAUGGACCUAACAGAAGCAGAAGAUAUUAAGAAGAGGUGGCAAGAAUACAUGGAACACCUGUACAAAAAAGAUCUUCAUGACCCAGAUAAUCAUGAUGAUGUGAUCACUAAUCUAGAGCCAGAUCUCUUGGAAUGUGAAGUCAAGUGGGGCUUAGAAAGCAUCACUAUGAACAAAGCUAGUGGAGGUGAUGGAAUUCCAGUUGAGCUAUUUCAAAUCCUGAAAGAUGAUGCCGUGAAAGUGCUGCACUCAAUAUGCCAACAAAUUUGGAAAACUCAGCAGUGGCCACAGGACUGGAAAAGGUCAGUUUUCAUUCCAAUUCCAAAGAAAGGCAACACCAAAGAAUGCUCAAACUACCGCACAAUUGCACUCAUCUCACAUGCUAGUAAAGUAAUGCUCAAAAUUCUCCAAGCCAGGCUUCAGCAAUACAUGAACCAUGAAAUUCCAGAUGUUCAAGCUGGAUUUAGAAAAAGCAGAGGAACCAGAAAUCAAAUUGCCAACAUCCGCUGGAUCAUGGUAAAAGCAAGAGAGUUCCAGAAAAACAUCUAUUUCUGCUUUAUUGACUAUGCCAAAGCCUUUGACUGUGUGGAUCACAAGAAACUGUGGAAAAUUCUGAAAGAGAUGGGAAUACCAGACCACCUAACCUGCCUCUUGAGAAAUCUGUAUGCAGGUCAGGAAGCAAUAGUUAGAACUGGACAUGGAACAACAGACUGGUUCCAAAUAGGAAAAGGAGUAUGUCAAGGCUGUAUAUUGUCAACCUGCUUAUUUAACUUCUAUGCAGAGUACAUCAUGAGAAACGCUGGACUGGAAGAAACACAAGCUGGAAUCAAGAUUGCCGGGAGAAAUAUCAAUAACUUCAGAUAUGCAGAUGACAUCACCCUUAUGGCAGAAUGGUGUGAAGAGGAGCUAAAAAGCCUCUUGAUGAAAGUGAAAGAGGAGAGUGAAAAAGUUGGCUUAAAGCUCAACAUUCAGAAAACGAAGAUCAUGGCAUCCGGUCCCAUCACUUUAUGGGAAAUAGAUGGGGAAACAGUGGAAACAGGGUCAGACUUUAUUUUGGGGGGCUCCAAAAUCACUGCAGAUGGUGACUGCAGCCAUGAAAUUAAAAGAUGCUUACUCCUUGGAAGAAAAGUUAUGACCAACCUAGAUAACAUAUUCAAAAGCAGAGACAUUACUUUGCCGACUAAGGUCCAUCUAGUCAAGGCUAUGGUUUUUCCAGGUGUCAUGUAUGGAUGUGAGAGUUGUACUGUGAAGAAGUCUGAGCACCAAAGAAUUGAUGCUUUUGAACUGUGGUUGUUGGAGAAGACUCUUGAGAGUCCCUUGGACUGCAAGGAGAUCCAACCAGUCCAUUCUGAAGGAGAUCAACCCUGGGAUUUCUUUGGAAAGAAUGAUGCUGAAGCUGAAACUCCAAUACUUUGGCAACCUCAUGAGAAGAGUUGA
rnacentral:lncRNA from 1 species